rnacentral:rRNA from 1 species
UGGGGAAUUUUGGACAAUGGGCGAAAGCCUGAUCCAGCAAUGCCGCGUGUGUGAAGAAGGCCUUCGGGUUGUAAAGCACUUUUGUCCGGAAAGAAAUCCUUGGCUCUAAUACAGUCGGGGGAUGACGGUACCGGAAGAAUAAGCACCGGCUAACUACGUGCCAGCAGCCGCGGUAAUACGUAGGGUGCAAGCGUUAAUCGGAAUUAUUGGGCGUAAAGCGUGCGCAGGCGGUUUGCUAAGACCGAUGUGAAAUCCCCGGGCUCAACCUGGGAACUGCAUUGGUGACUGGCAGGCUAGAGUAUGGCAGAGGGGGGUAGAAUUCCACGUGCAGCAGUGAAAUGCGUAGAGAUGUGGAGGAAUACCGAUGGCGAAGGCAGCCCCCUGGGCCAAUACUGACGCUCAUGCACGAAAGCGUGGGGAGCAAACAGGAUUAGAUACCCUGGUAGUCCACGCCCUAAAACGAUGUCAACUAGUUGUUGGGGAUUCAUUUCCUUAGUAACGUAGCUAACGCGUGAAGUUGACCGCCUGGGGAGUACGGUCGCAAGAUUAAAACUCAAAGGAAUUGACGGGGUCAUAGCUGUUUCCU